rnacentral:rRNA from 1 species
AUUGAACGCUGGCGGCAGGACUAACACAUGCAAGUCGAGUGAGCGGCGGACGGGUGAGUAAUGUCCGGGACACUGCCUGCUGGAGGGGGAUAACUACUGGAAACGGUAGCUAUUACCGCAUACCAUCAGAUGUGCCCAGAUGGUAUCAGCUAGUAGGUGGGGUAACGGCUCACCUAGGCGACGAUCCCUCGCGGGUCUGAGAGGAGGACCAGCCACACUGAUACUGAGACACUGUCCGGACGCCUGCGGGAGGCAGCGGUGGGGAAUAUUGCACUAUGGGCGCGAGCCUGGUGGAGCCAAGCCGCGUGUGUGAAGAUGGCCUUCGGGUUGUAAAGCACUUGCAGCGUGGAGGCAUUACCCGCAGAGGAAGCACCGGCUGACUCCGUGCCAGCAGCCGCGGUAAUUC